rnacentral:sRNA from 1 species
UAGCAAUUGCAGAGCUACCUCGGUAAAUA